rnacentral:snoRNA from 1 species
AUGCUGGAACUUAUGGCAGUGUCAGAAUUCAGUGCUAUAGGUCUCUAGCAAUAACCAUUGUUUCUCACUUGAUAUAAAACAACCUAUUACAUAAAGAGGAGAGGCAAUGUUCUCUCCUGAGUGUGAAGCCAGCUCUGGGUGUUGCUUUAAUGUAACUGCCAUUUGCCAUUGAUGAUUGUCCUUACUCCUCUUCAGGGAAGUAAGAGGGAGAGGAUGCAGUGUGAGUGGU